UGUUUCGGCUAGGGGGCCAUCCCGGCUUACCAACCCGAUGCAAACUGCGAAUACCGGAGAAUGUUAUCACGGGAGACACACGGCGGGUGCUAACGUCCGUCGUGAAGAGGGAAACAACCCAGACCGCCAGCUAAGGUCCCAAAGUCAUGGUUAAGUGGGAAACGAUGUGGGAAGGCCCAGACAGCCAGGAUGUUGGCUUAGAAGCAGCCAUCAUUUAAAGAAAGCGUAAUAGCUCACUGGUCGAGUCGGCCUGCGCGGAAGAUGUAACGGGGCUAAACCAUGCACCGAAGCUGCGGCAGCGACACUAUGUGUUGUUGGGUAGGGGAGCGUUCUGUAAGCCUGUGAAGGUGUGCUGUGAGGCAUGCUGGAGGUAUCAGAAGUGCGAAUGCUGACAUAAGUAACGAUAAAGCGGGUGAAAAGCCCGCUCGCCGGAAGACCAAGGGUUCCUGUCCAACGUUAAUCGGGGCAGGGUGAGUCGACCCCUAAGGCGAGGCCGAAAGGCGUAGUCGAUGGGAAACAGGUUAAUAUUCCUGUACUUGGUGUUACUGCGAAGGGGGGACGGAGAAGGCUAUGUCGGCCGGGCGACGGUUGUCCCGGUUUAAGCGUGUAGGCUGACUUUCCAGGCAA
rnacentral:rRNA from 1 species